UACGGAGGGAGCUAGCGUUGUUCGGAAUUACUGGGCGUAAAGCGCUCGUAGGCGGCUUUGUAAGUUAGAGGUGAAAGCCCGGGGCUCAACCCCGGAAUUGCCUUUAAGACUGCAUCGCUUGAAUCCGGGAGAGGUGAGUGGAAUUCCGAGUGUAGAGGUGAAAUUCGUAGAUAUUCGCAAGAACACCAGUGGCGAAGGCGGCUCACUGGCCCGAUACUGACGCUGAGGCACGAAAGCGUGGGGAGCAAACAGG
rnacentral:rRNA from 1 species